GCUGCUGUAGAAAUACAGUUCAGUCUGUUUACACCUGAUUCAUUUGAUGGAUACGUUUAGAACACUGCAGCAACCAGGAGUUUCUGUUGAAGUUACUGAAUAACAUUCAUAAUAAAGCAGUUCUGUUGUCAAUCACAAAUAAAACACACUGUAUGCAUGUUUAUAUGUAUGCAUAAAGGCUACUUGUGUAGUUAAAGCAGACCAAAAUAGACCUAACCUGUAAAAAAACAGAAAGGCGGUCCAACAGUAGUCGCGCGCACAUGGACACUGUUAACCCCUGAUUCAUUUUAUGGAUCAUACACUCACUGCAGCAUCAAGGGGUUUCUGUCCAUGUCACUGACAUUCAUUCAUGGUCCGAGGAAGACAACAAAUAUGAUUCUUCCAAUGCGCUCUGCUGUUCCUGUUAGGUGAAUGCAGGGGAGCUUCUCGUCCUCUGUUCCCUGGACUCUAGAGACUGAACUGAUCAUCACCACAGCUGGAGCUGUUUUCAAGAGCUCAGCAGCAGCACAGGUGCAGCAUCCUGAACAGAGACAGAAGAUACCUGAGCUGUUUCUGACAGUUCAGCACCUUGGACAGCGACGGCCAAACAACUCCCAGGAGACAAGAACAGGACACUCUACCUGUACUCACCUGGAUACCAGACAUGGAUGGAUGGAUGGAUGGAUGGAUGGAUGGAUGGAUGGAUGUACACAAGUGGAAGUCUGGGGUCUUAUCUGAAGGCUCUGACUCCCUGUCAGAGCGAUGGAACACUGGAGCUGCUUUGUGUUUGCAAUGUUGUUGGUUUUUUUUUGUAUUUUCUAUUUUGAGUUGUAGUUACUUGUUUACACCACCAGAGAGAGUAUCCCCUAAAGAGAACACUGUGGUAGCACUGCAAUGGGCUUCCUGUUGUCAGACAGAGAACAGCCUGCUGAAUAAACUCAGGUAACGUC